CCUACGGGCGGCAGCAGUGGGGAAUAUUGGACAAUGGGGGGAACCCUGAUCCAGCCAUGCCGCGUGUGUGAAGAAGGCCCUCGGGUUGUAAAGCACUUUCAGUGAGGAAGAACGCCUGGUGGUUAAUACCCAUCAGGAAAGACAUCACUCACAGAAGAAGCACCGGCUAACUCCGUGCCAGCAGCCGCGGUAAUACGGGGGGUGCGAGCGUUAAUCGGAAUUACUGGGCGUAAAGCGCGCGUAGGUGGCUUGAUAAGCCGGUUGUGAAAGCCCCGGGCUCAACCUGGGAACGGCAUCCGGAACUGUCAAGCUAGAGUGCAGGAGAGGAAGGUAGAAUUCCCGGUGUAGCGGUGAAAUGCGUAGAGAUCGGGAGGAAUACCAGUGGCGAAGGCGGCCUUCUGGACUGACACUGACACUGAGGUGCGAAAGCGUGGGUAGCAAACAGGAUUAGAUACCCUAGUAGUC
rnacentral:rRNA from 1 species